CAGGCAUCAGUCGGCAGGUAGACCGACAUCCCCGUCAAUAGGGUUCUGUUCUAGGCAGUGUGGGUGUGGUGGUCGCCCCGUGGGAAUUCGAACACGAGAGCAGCUAACGGUUCCAGCUUUCGGCUCGAAGAACGAUGCUACCCCAUGAAUUAAUUCCGAACAACACGCCACUCGUUUAAGAAUCGAUAACUUGUACGAGUGGAAUUGGCAGAAACCCAUGGCUAUAAAGCCGGAAGAAUCAUCUGGCCGUUAAAAGCCCGGCCUCGUUAAAUUACCCGCUUUACACAACCCGAUGUCGCUGUUGAUCAGAGCUCCAACUCUUCUUUCUGCUUUACAUGGUACUUCAAAUGCCGAUCUUGUCUUCCGUUUCAAACAUGCUUUUCUAAUUAUUAUUCUUAUGACAUGCAGCCACGACUUAUUAGGUGAAGGUAUGUAUAUAGUAAAGGGAGCUUGAGGAUAGGAUGGCUAUAGUUCUAAAAUAAUGGACCAUAUUUAAGGAUGGAGAACGCCCGUCAAUUGCGACUUUAGUUGUUGUUUUUAAUCAGGAGAAGACGAAAAACAUGUUCGUCAGGACUGGAUGGCGGGGAAUUGAACCCUCCGCGGCUCCUUUGUGGUUGCUUGCCAGCUCCUUACCCGCUAUCCAUCUCUUAUUCUUGCUUUAACUCCCUUGGUUAUCUUGGAGCCCUUAAGAGGGAUUGAUGAGCUUUGGCCCUUCCUUCCAUACCUUGAUGAAGUUCCACCCCCGUCGCUUCUUCCCUCGUAUUACCAUCUCUUCACAUCGGUCACUUUCAGCCAUUACCACCCUAUCAAGCAUUGACCCAGUAAAUAAGCUUAUCCAAGGAGAGUAAGAAAAAGAAAAGAAAAAGAAAAAGUAUUCCAAAGCGAGAAGUUGGAAGUCAGGCAUCAAGGCUGGGCGAGCUCAAUUCUACCUUUUAACUUAACACGGGAUGCCGCCCUCGGUCAUGGACUUGAGAUAUAUGGCUUAUCUCACAUGUCGCUCACCUUAAGUAUUGAUCCUUGAUGCAGUGAUAAAAAUCCCACACGCCAUUGUUCCAAGUUUCAUACUUCAACAAGAGACGGGAGUGAUACGCGCCGUGCAAAAUAUUAGCAACCUAUGCCUUUGUGCAGCAGGAAACCUCUCAACAAUAGA
rnacentral:sRNA from 1 species